UGCGUAGGCGGCCUGACAAGUCAGAGGUGAAAGGCUACGGCUUAACCGGAGUAAGCCUUUGAAACUGACAGGCUUGAGUGCAGGAGAGGAAAGUGGAAUUCCUAGUGUAGCGGUGAAAUGCGUAGAUAUUAGGAGGAACACCAGUGGCGAAGGCGACUUUCUGGACUGUAACUGACGCUGAGGCACGAAAGCGUGGGGAGCGAACAGGAUUAGAUACCCUGGUAGUC
rnacentral:rRNA from 1 species